AUGGACAAAUUUGAUUUGACUAUAUAAUCUUUCAAAAUUUUAAUUUUAUUAUAUUUUUUAUUUUUUUUAAAAUUAAAUUAGUUAAUAAUAUUUUGAUUUCAAAAUUUUAAUACAAUAUUUAUUUUUACAGUUUUAAUUAGUGUAUUUCAUACGAUUUUAACAACAAUAACUUUAUUAAAGUAAUUAUUUUAAAAUUUGAAGUCAAAGUACAAACUAAAAUUAAAUACAUUAAAAUACUAUAUAGUAAAAUUAAAAUUUUAAAAAUUUAAAUAGCUGAUUCAAAAUAGACUAUAAUUUUUAAAAAGGAAGAAAAAAAA
rnacentral:lncRNA from 1 species